rnacentral:rRNA from 1 species
AUACGGAGGGUGCAAGCGUUAUUCGGAAUCACUGGGCGUAAAGGACGCGUAGGCGGGUUGGCAAGUCAGAUGUGAAAUCCUACUGCUUAACUGUAGAACUGCAUUUGAAACUGCUAACCUAGAGUAUGGGAGGGGGAGAUGGAAUUAGUGGUGUAGGGGUAAAAUCCGUAGAUAUCACUAGGAAUACCGAAAGCGAAGGCGAUCUCCUGGAACAUAACUGACGCUAAGGCGUGAAAGCGUGGGGAGCAAACAGGAUUAGAAACCCUUGUAGUCC